GCUUACGGCCAUACCAGCCUGAAUAUGUCUGAUCCCUGCAGGGUUGGGCCUGGUUAGUACUUGGAUAGGAGACUGCCUGGGAAUACCAGGUGCUGUAAGCU
rnacentral:rRNA from 1 species